UGUUGAGGAAGAUAAUGACGGUACUCAACAAGGAAGUGACGGCUAACUACGUGCCAGCAGCCGCGGUAAAACGUAGGUCACAAGCGUUGUCCGGAAUUACUGGGUGUAAAGGGAGCGCAGGCGGGAGAACAAGUUGGAAGUGAAAUCCAUGGGCUCAACCCAUGAACUGCUUUCAAAACUGUUUUUCUUGAGUAGUGCAGAGGUAGGCGGAAUUCCCGGUGUAGCGGUGGAAUGCGUAGAUAUCGGGAGGAACACCAGUGGCGAAGGCGGCCUACUGGGCACCAACUGACGCUGAGGCUCGAAAGUGUGGGUAGCAAACAGGAUUAGAUACCCUGGUAGUCCACACCGUAAACGAUGAUUACUAGGUGUUGGAGGAUUGACCCCUUCAGUGCCGCAGUUAACACAAUAAGUAAUCCACCUGGGGAGUACGACCGCAAGGUUGAAACUCAAAGGAAUUGACGGGGGCCCGCACAAGCAGUGGAGUAUGUGGUUUAAUUCGACGCAACGCGAAGAACCUUACCAAGUCUUGACAUCCCUUGACGAUGCUGGAAACAGCAUUUCUCUUCGGAGCAAGGAGACAGGUGGUGCAUGGUUGUCGUCAGCUCGUGUCGUGAGAUGUUGGGUUAAGUCCCGCAACGAGCGCAACCCUUAUGGUCAGUUACUACGCAAGAGGACUCUGGCCAGACUGCGGUUGAACAAA
rnacentral:rRNA from 1 species